rnacentral:rRNA from 1 species
UACAGAGGUCUCAAGCGUUGUUCGGAUUCAUUGGGCGUAAAGGGCGCGUAGGCUGCGGGGCAAGUCGGGUGUGAAAUCUCAGAGCUCAACUCUGAAACUGCAUUCGAUACUGCCGUGCUUGAGGACUGGAGAGGAGACUGGAAUUUACGGUGUAGCGGUGAAAUGCGUAGAUAUCAGGAGGAACACCGGUGGCGAAGGCGGGUCUCUGGGCCGAUACUGACGCUGAGGCGCGAAAGCGUGGGGAGCAAACAGG